rnacentral:rRNA from 1 species
GGUCCCUACGGGGCGCAGCAGUGGGGGAUAUUGCACAAUGGGGGGAACCCUGAUACAGCGACGCCGCGUGGGUGAAGAAGUAUUUCGGUAUGUAAAGCCCUAUCGGCAGGGAAGAAAUUGGACGGUACCUGACUAAGAAGCCCCGGCUAACUACGUGCCAGCAGCCGCGGUAAUACGUAGGGGGCAAGCGUUAUCCGGAUUCAAUGGGUGUAAAGGGAGCGUAGACGGCCAUGCAAGCCCG